rnacentral:rRNA from 1 species
AUACGUAGGGGGCGAGCGUUGUCCGGAAUGAUUGGGCGCAAAGGGCGCGUAGGCGGCCUGUUAAGUCUGGAGUGAAAGUCCUGUUUUCAAGAUGGGAAUUGCUUUGGAUACUGAUGGGCUUGAGUGCAGGAGAGGUUAUCGGAAUUCCUGGUGUAGCGGUGAAAUGCGUAGAGAUCGGGAGGAACACCAGUGGCGAAGGCGGGUAACUGGACUGCAACUGACGCUGAGGCGCGAAAGUGUGGGGAGCAAACAGGAUUAGAUACCCUGGUAGUCCACACUGUAAACGAUGAAUGCUAGGUGUAAGAGGUAUCGACCCCUUUUGUGCCGGAGUUAACACAAUAAGCAUUCCGCCUGGGGAGUACGGCCGCAAGGUUGAAACUCAAAUGAAUUGACGGGG